AUGAGAGCUUAUGCAGACAACAAGGUUGGCACGGUUGUUAACCCGGCAAUCGGAACUAGCUUUGACACGGUUGAAGAAGCGUAUGAGUUUUACAACCUAUAUUCCUGGGAGACAGGGUUUGGCGUUCGGUAUGCCAAAAGCAGGUUGAACGUCCAUCGGAAAAAGUGCAUGCAGGAGUUUGUAUGCGCGUGUGCGGUAUGA
rnacentral:rRNA from 1 species